rnacentral:rRNA from 1 species
AUUGAACGCUGGCGGCAGGCCUAACACAUGCAAGUCGAACGAGUGGCGGACGAGUGAGUAAUGUCUGGGAAACUGCGUGAUGGAGGGGGAUAACUACUGGAAACGGUACCUAAUACCGCAUACCAUCGGAUGUGCCCAGAUGGGCUUGGCUAGUAGCGGUGGUAAAGGCGCACCUAGGCGACGAGCCCUAGCUGGUCUGAGAGGAUGACCAGCGCAACUGGAACUGAGACACGGUCCAGACUACUACGGUAGGCCGCAGGGGGGAAUAGUGCAAAAUCGGCGCAAGACUGAUACAGAUAUGGCGCAUGUAUAAAGAAGGCCUUCGGGUUGUAAAGUACUUUCAGCGGUGAGGCGUUACCCGCAGAAGAAGCACGGGCUAACUCCGUGCAGGCAGACGCGGUAAUAC